GUGCGAAUGUGGUAGGGGCAGAGGGAGAGGGAGAGAGAAUCCCAAGCAUGUUCUGAAACCACAACCGUAAGAUUACCACCUGAGCCAAUAUCAAGAGUUGGAUGCUUAACUGACAGAGCCACCCAGGCACCCCUAUCAUAUCCUUUAUUUCAUUAUAAACUGGUAAACUUAGGUGUUUCCCUGAGUUCUAUGGGUUGUUUUAGCAAAUGAUAGAAUCCAAGAGUGGGUGGGCAGGUCAUGGGAACCUCUCAUUUGUGGCCAAGUAGGACAGAAGUUGUGGGUAACCUGGGACCUACUACUUGCGAUUGGUGUUGAACUGAGGCAGGGGUAAUCUUUCUUUUCUUUCUUUCUUUUUUUUUUUUUUUUGAAUAGACAGCAUGUUUAUUUCAUUCUGUACAUCCACCCUGUCUUUGUUUUAACAAAUAAAACCACUAUUGGUAUUCCAAAACGUUACUGAGAGCAAUAAAGAAUUCCAGCUCCCACUUCUUGAAUAUCUGCUGCCAUCUCAAUGUAUCACACAGAUAAAAGGCUGAUGCAAACCUGCCGUGGAGUUAGGCAUGCACGAGGUGACUGUGAAUUUCAAAGCAAGUCUUCGAUUUUGAUCUACAGGUUUUCAAUUCUUUGUCUCCUUGUUUGCGACCCUUCUGCAAAUGACGGGAGUUGGAAUACUCAUCCAUUUCAAAGGUAUUCCAGUCUGGACCCCCGAAAGGCAGCCUGCCCACUGGCUGCUGUUAUUUCCUCAAAGUACAGAUCCAGAUGUCAUUGAAAGCUGAGCUGCAGCGCAUCCUGAGAAGAGUUUUCCAGUUUUCCUUCCUGGUAUUUGCCAUUUAGCUUACUACGUAGUCAGUGCUAAGUGUUUCGCCAUCAUCCGCUUUAAGUAAAGCAUAAGCCAGCACGGUGCUCCGGGGGAUUACCGCUCCGCAGUGCUGGAAGGCUCCAUCCCAGUGUUGGUGUUUAUAUCAACCUACUUUAUAUUAAGAGUAACUGACCUAACAGGUGACAGUGAAGACAUGGUGUAUGUAUCUGUGGCCGACUCAAUAUCAGGAUUCUACAUGUAAUAUUUUCUAGGCCUUCAAUUUGACAUCAGGCCUAUAAUUUGGUAGAAAGGAUUUUUCAUUUCCUUAACUCUCAAGGCAUCGCUGAAAGGUAAGGCUGCUACCUGCAAAGACAGUCUUCUUUUUUUUUUUUUUUUUUUUACUGCUGGUGAAAACCCAGCCGUGUUGAGGGCGUCACUGGCACGGGUUAAUAUGUGAUCUCGACAUUGUAAUGCUCACAUGAGAACACCUUGUUCUAUAUCAACAAACCUAUUCACCACUUCCUUCAUACACCUGUUCACACUAGAGGCAGGGGUAAUUUUUCCCCCCUUAAUGAACCACAUUUAUUAAAAGGACUAAGACUGUACAUAAAAAUCCAAGAUCUCUAAAAAGCCUACGGGAGCUGUGGCAUCGGGUUUUAGUUUCUUGACAUUACUGAGUUGGGGUGGGGGGGACGGCAAGAGGGCGAAAUCGUUUUCCUUAAACACAUUUCAAGUUAGUACAGAGUAGCUGAAUACAUUCUUAACUAUCUAAGAAGCAAACAGAAUAUUCCCAAACAUCAGGGAUGAUGAGAGAACCAAUCCCCCUGCCCCUGCAACUGUUGUCAGGUGAUCUGGAAAUUCUUUACAAAGCCAAAGCACCAAUCGUGCAUAAUCUCAGACACGUAUGUAGACUAUUUGUACAAUAUAUCCCACGUCAUCCUACGGUGUAUCCAAGCACACACAAAACUAUACACGGUAAAAUUCUCUCUUUUUUUCUUUUUUGGCGACUCCCUGGCACCUGUCCUCUCCUGAGCCCUACUGGCCACCCCGGCACGCAGCAGAGGCCUGGCAGACAUGGAGUCAUGACCACGAUCAUCAUGGUCUGGCAGCUGGACACCAAACGGGAAUAGGAUGUCUUGGGAAAUGCCAGCUCGGACUGACGUGACAGAGGACCAGGAGACAUCCCAGUCUAUUCCAACUGUCCUCACUGGCACUCUCCAACCCCUGAGAAAGGGAAGGAGUGUGUACACGGGUGAACGUUGCGGAGAGGGGGGCUCGUAAACUGAUCAGCAUUGCCCAGAUUUGACAGACAGGAUGUGUUCAUCAUCGGGCAGAUGAGUAGCUCCAAAGACAACUUGCCAAGGGGGGGAAAUAAAAAAGUCACGCUUCUUGUUCAGGUGAGUUCGGGGCCUUACAUAAGCACCUAUUAUAACCGGGCUGAGAAUCGGCAUCCGCCAGCCUCACAGAGGGAACUUCACAGUCCCAGCCAGCUGUUUGCAACGAUUUAGUGUGUUACAGGCUUCUUUUUCAAGGGAGAGACCAGCAGUGUUUAAAUCCUCUCUUUACAAAUUAUUCAAGAGCAUUGAAAAGGCAUUCGACAGUUACACAAGGUCCUGCUCGAUCAUUUGCAUAAUUACUACUAGCAUAUCUUUGUAUCCCACAUCAAAGUUAAAUUUUCCCCUUACCGAAUAUCGUUUUAAGUCAACUGGAUUGAACAAGGACUUUUGAGUUGCAAAGUUACACCAGAAAAUUGAAUUUGAUUGUCAGCAUUUAAAUAUAAUCUAUUUUCGAUACUUUAAAUAUUCAUAUAUACAGUGCAUAACAUUCAGACAUAAAAUCAAAUUAAGCAAUUAUAUCAUACUUGAGACUUUAUAAUUCUUUGUAGCUCUCUGAGUUGUAUCCCUUCCCCUCUUCCUUUCCUUCCAAACAAAUAAAACAUGUUAAGUAUAAAGUUCAAA